rnacentral:lncRNA from 1 species
GGGUCGCGGGGCUCGCCUCGGCACAGGGCGGGCGCGGCGCAGACGGGGCUUCGGAACCGCUUGCCUCUGUCUGCCUUCGCCUUUUUUAUCCUCAUUUCAAACACCUUUUCCCACAAUCCUUUAUUCAUUCUUUUCAUCAGAAUUACUCCUAUGAUUUUGAAAAUACACAAAAUCUUCGUUUUCAUUUGGCAUAGCAUCCAUCCUUGGUGCCUGGAGGUAGCAAACGCUGAUUUACAAGCCACAGAGCUUCUUGUCUUUUUUCCUGUUUUCUUUGCAGAACAGCACAAAACAGAGAAGUCUGGGCUUGUGCUCAAGAAUAUCAGGAGCUGAUAGUAGCCUAAUAGCUAGUGUGUGAAACACCGUAUCAUUGCAAGGAGGCUGUUAACUGUUUCACAGCAGCAAGAAAACAACAUACUGUUAAAGAGAAAGGGGGAAAUUUGAAGGGAGAAAGUUAGAACUCGUCUCUUUUUGGAAUAUCGAGUUACCACUGCCUGAGGAAGGGAUCCGCAUGAAACGAUUUAAAUUAUCUUACUCCUGAAAGGAUCAAAGAGGUAAAUCAUAGGGUGUUAUUAUCAGUGCAAUACACUUUCAACAAUAGCACUCAUUCACUAGAACAGAGAAACCAAUUUUGCAUAAUAAUGUAUUCUCAUGAAAGAAUAUACCCCCCAAAGGAGUGGAUUUUCAGCUUUAACUCUCUCCCCAGUUCAGGUUUUCCUUCCGGCCCAAAUUCUAUUUCACAAUGAAUUUUAACAACUCGCGAUAUGAAGAUUUAUUUUUUUCUUUAUGUUUUAAAACUAAAGGGCGGUAUACAACAACAGUAACUACCCUGCCUCCGGAACAUAGCAAACAGAAGCGAUUCCUCCCCCCUACCCCCCCAAAAAAGACAGUACGUUGAAAGCACAGUAACAUGAACAUCAGCCUUCAGAGAGGGGCUUGUCGGUUGUUUCUUCUGCUGGAAUGCCUAAGCAAGCGUGAGGUACCAUCGGCUUUAACACGCACUAUUAAAGCACAAACGUCUCUCCAGAAGGCACUAGCUAAUAGUUCGUGGUCUUUCAAGAUAAACUAUUUGAGCGGGCUUAGGUGAUUUCGGAGGGAAGGGGCUCGGCCAAGGGAGCCAGCUCUGCACCCGCGUCUGGGACCACGGGACGAGGCUGUGUUACUUCCUCCGCUUUAAUACCAAUUUACCCUAAGACCCACUGUUCAAACCACUCUCUUUUCUAUCCUGAUAUGGAGAAAACCUUCUAAAGCACAAGUUUUCAUGCUGGCUGUCCUGAUAUCGCUAAUGGUGUAAUUUUAAUUUAGAAGAUAAAACGAAAGUUUCUCUCUCGCU